UCACACUGGUUCCCGUACGACCGCGUCGGCGCGGUGCACGCCGAUCCUUGAGGACUUUCUCUCCCGGCGCCCUCUCCGUCGCUCUCGUCCAAUGAAACGUCCACGUCAUCAACUAACUAACCAAUCACAACAUUUCCCGCCGCGUCGCCCGCCGAUCAAACGACCCUCAGCAAACACGCGGUGCUGUGCUUCGCGGACGUGUUGUGGCCGGACUUUUCGUUCGCGGACAUGUGCCACGCGGUGUGGACGUAUCAGAAGUCCGCCGCGCACGCGAGGGAGGGGCGCGCGCGGAUGGAGGCGAGAGCGCGGGAGAGAAGGGCGGCGGAAGACGCGGCGAGGCGGGGAAGGGAGGGAGGGGAGGGGACGCGCGUUCUUGCGGCGGCGGCGGCGGCGGCGGCGGACGCGGAAGCGAAGCGGCCGAAGCGUCGGCGCGCCGCCGCCGCCGUGCGACGGAAAAAUACGACGACGUCGACGGUCGGGAAGGAGAACGACGUUUCCGUGGCGAUCGUGAAGCCGAUAGACGCGACGAAAGGAUCCGCGGUCGCGCCGGCGGCGGCGAGCGUUCGACGCUCCGAGGACUGAACAGAACGAACAGAAGUUUGUAGCUCCUAGAAACGAAACGACGACAGAGGAAACGACGACGU
rnacentral:lncRNA from 1 species